rnacentral:misc_RNA from 1 species
CGGUUCUCCGAUUCCCACCCCACCAAAAAAGAGCCCGCCAUUUUAUCAGAUCGAAAUAUCAAAUCCUCAACUUCCUCGCUCCAACUUCCAGGCUCCGAGUCAAACAAAGAUAUACAAUAUGACUUGUUGGCGGAGGAAGUACAUCGUGAACUGGGCUAUACAAAAUCCGAGUGCCAUGGCCCCAAAACUUAUGAAAAUGAUACGUGUCGAGGCGCCACUUCUCCGCGAGAUUAUGGCGGAAUUCCUGGGCACUUUCAUUCUUGUGCUUUUUGGUGACGCCAGCGUCGCCCAGUCUAAACUUUCAAACGAAGCCAAUGGAGACUUUUUCUCCAUCAACUGGGGCUGGGCUGUUGGUGUCAUGAUGGGGGUCUUGGUUGCUGGGGGCGUAUCGGGUGCUCAUUUAAAUCCGGCCGUCACCUUGGCAAUGGCCUGCGCUGGUCGUAUUGCCAUCAUCAAAGUUUUCUUCUACAUGCUGGCCCAGUAUCUGGGCGCCUUCGCUGCAGCCGCCUCCGUCCUCGGAGUCUACAGCGAUGCCAUCGAAUAUUACAGCAACGCCAACCACAACGGGACUUUGUACAUGAACAAUGAAGCCAACGAUCCGGGCUUGGCCGGCAUCUUUGCCACCUAUCCGGCCCCUUGGCUCUCCAUUGCUGGAGGGAUUGGCGACCAGAUUUUGGGAACCAUGCUGCUACUCCUCUGCAUCUGCGCCAUCACGGACAAGAAAAACACGCAAAUUCCGUCAGCCCUAGUGCCAAUGUACGUGGGAUUCACCAUUCUGGGCAUCGGCGUUUGCUUCGGGGCCAACUGCGGCUACGCGCUCAAUCCGGCCAGAGAUCUUUCGCCCCGUCUCAUCACUCUCAUCGCCGGAUGGGAUCAAUCUUUCAGCUGGAACAAUUACAACUGGUUCUGGAUACCCAUCGUCGGCCCUCACAUCGGAGCUAUCCUCGGGGUCUUCAUUUACAUCGCCUUUGUCGAAGCCCAUUGGCCGGAGGAAGGCGACGAAGUGGUGCCCAUCACCGUUCCACGAGCGAAUUUCAACAAAGAGCGAGGAGAAAAGAUCCAGAACAUGGACAUGGAGAGUUUCUAAUAACGCAGUGAUCGCUACAUCGGUAUUUAAGAUCUUCACCAACUCUUUUGUAAAAUUUUGAUCGGAGGGGUUUUACCACGUCAAAUUAACAGGAGAAAGACGGACUUGGCAACCGCUUUAACUAUCUUCCUUCAUCAAGACCGCGAGCGUCUGUUUUUAUUUUUAUUGCAACCAUUGAAAAAUCGUUCCAUUCUAUUGUUGUAUCUUUGAUCCUCAUUAUUAUUAUUUUUUUUUAAAUUGGGAACUGGACCACUGUAUACUCCUCAUUACAAAAUGACUUUGAAUUAAGUUGGCGUGAUUUGACUAUCCAUGUAUUCAAACAGAGCAUCCCCAUCCUAUAUGUAUAUGUAUUUGUAUGUGUAGGUAAACGAUAAAUGUGAAACCGAGAGUUCAUUGUGGCUUCCUCUUACUCUUGUUCCCAACUACAAAAAAUGCAGCUGUUAGUGUUCUUUGAUACUUCUCUGCUGAUUCAUUAUCUAUAUAAUGUUGCACCAUGAGUGUGAGCGUGUGGUGGUGUGUUUAUUCCGCACAUCGAGCUGAGAUACAUGUAAAAAAAAGAGAAAAAAAAAACAAGUAUUUUCCGUUUUUGAA